rnacentral:rRNA from 1 species
UACGUAGGGGGCUAGCGUUGUCCGGAUUUAUUGGGCGUAAAGAGCGUGUAGGCGGCCAGGUAGGUCUGCUGUGAAAACUCGAGGCUCAACCUCGAGACGUCGGCGGAAACCAUCUGGCUAGAGUCCGGAAGAGGAGAGUGGAAUUCCUGGUGUAAGCGGUGAAAUGCGCAGAUAUCAGGAAGAACACCCGUGGCGAAGGCGGCUCUCUGGGACGGUACUGACGCUGAGACGCGAAAGCGUGGGGAGCGAACAGG